UCCACGCCGUAAACGAUGGUCACUCGUUGCUGGUGAACAAUCAGUGACUGAGCGAAAGCAUUAAGUGACCCACCUGGGGAGUACGUUCGCAAGAAUGAAACUCAAAGGAAUAGACGGGGACCCGCACAAGUGGUGGAGCAUGUGGUUUAAUUCGAAAAUACGCGAAGAACCUUACCUAGCCUUGACAUAUUUGAAAAUCCACCAGAGAUGGAGGAGUGCCUUCGGG
rnacentral:rRNA from 1 species